GCCCGGAUGGUGAAAUUGGUAGACACGCUAGGUUCAGGGUCUAGUUGGCAUAAGCCAGUGCAGGUUCAAGUCCUGUUCCGGGCA
rnacentral:tRNA from 1 species